CAAUAGCGUAUAUUAAAGUUGUUGCAGUUAAAAAGCUCGUAGUUGGAUUUCUGAUCGAGACAUCAGGUCGGGUCCGAGAGGAUCAUGUACUUUGAUUUUGUUUUGAUCAUCCUUGGGGAGAGCAUUUCUGGCAUUCAGUUGUCGGGAUUGGGAUCCUCAUCGUUUACUGUGAAAAAAUUAGAGUGUUCAAAGCAGGCCUCGGCCUCUGAAUACAUUAGCAUGGAAUAAUGAGAUAGGACUUUGGUGGUCUAUUUUGUUGGUUUGCACGCCAAAGUAAUGAUUAAUAGGGAUAGUUGGGGGUAUUCGUAUUCAAUUGUCAGAGGUGAAAUUCUUGGAUUUAUGGAAGACGAACUACUGCGAAAGCAUUUACCAAGGAUGUUUUCAUUAA
rnacentral:rRNA from 1 species